AUUUGACCAAAACACCCAGGAGCCAAUAUCCUUGUUCUUGAAACCCUAGUUCACCAAAUUCUACUCAAAAUCAAAGAAGGAAUCAAGUAGGAAAUCGUUUUCAAACUAAAUUCGUGAUCAUUACACUUAGUGGAUCACAAGGCAGUUUGGGAGGAUCGUCUAGUAACCAAGACGGAGCGGAUAGUCGGUAAAAGGGAAAGCUUUAAAGGUGACCAUAAUUACUAGACGGAUGACGAUCAAGCAAGAAAAUGAACCGAGUACACACUUAAUCAAAGCUUCCGCGACUAAACCAAGACUUUUGGCACGGCCACUUUAGAGUUGUGUUAUCAUACUUUUGUACAUAUGGUGACCAUAAUUACUAGACGGAUGACGAUUAAGCAAGAAAAUGAACCGAGUACACACUUAAUCAAAGCUUCCGCGACUAAACCAAGACUUUUGUCACGACCACUUUAGAGUUCUGUUAUCAUACUUUUGUACAUAUGGUUUGUAUCGUUUGACAACUAAGUAAGUUGUGUUUUAAAAAUAUGUUUUGAAACGUUAGUGAACGUAUUUUGAAGGUGUUGAAACUUAUAUAAAUGUUGUUAAUUCGAUGUUUUUAUA